rnacentral:misc_RNA from 1 species
UUGGCUUGUUACCGGUGGUUGGCUGUGCACAACUUCCACCUAACAUGCCUAUUUUUUUGUCCGUUAAGGCUUUGAUUGCCUAAACAAACUGCGGGUUUCCUGUGUUGCUUGCCUAACAAUGGUAUUGAUUUGGCUUAUCUAAGCUUCGUUCGUCUUUCGUCAUGCAUAUGACAUUAGAUGUACCCUAAACGUGUCCCUUUGAACCACAUCAUUAAUGCUUGUGUUGAUGUAGUGGCGCAUUGGGCCUUGCUUGGUCUCUUUGAUGUAGUGCUUGAUGUGGGCAUGGGUCUGUUGGGAUCCUUGUUAUGUCCCUGAUUAGUGUUUACGCACCGUAAAAUGACUGCUUGACACGUGUUGGCWCGUAAUAGCGUGUUGGGCUUUGUCKAAAAGGAAUGUUACCUGGU